AACUUGUUGUCCGUUCUUAAAAAGGGCACACUGCCGCCGUAUGUUUUCAGAAUUCAACUGAACAACAACGAAAUCGAGGAAGUUGAAGAAGGAGCGAUCCAACGUGUUAACCAAAUAUAUAUGAAAGAUAACAAGAUGAAGAUUCUCAAAGCUGGUACCUUAAGCCAAACAGACUGUCGCUCAUUAUCAUUACAUGGUAACCAGAUAACCGAAAUACAACCGGGCUCUCUGCCGACCUUUAUCGAAACACUGUAAGUAUUCCAGUGGUAUCGUGUGUCUCUGUACCACACUC